UAGUCCACGCCGUAAACGAUGAUUACUCGAUGUAUGCGAUACAUUGUAUGCGUCUAAGUGAAAGCAUUAAGUAAUCCACCUGGGGAGUACGUUGGCAACAAUGAAACUCAAAGGAAUUGACGGGGGCCCGCACAAGCGGAGGAACAUGUGGUUUAAUUCGAUGAUACGCGAGGAACCUUACCUGGGCUUAAAUGCAGAAUGACCUUCCGGGAAACCGGAACUCCCUUCGGGGCGAUUUGCAAGGUGCUGCAUGGUUGUCGUCAGCUCGUGCCGUGAGGUGUCGGGUUAAGUCCCAUAACGAGCGCAACCCCUAUCAUUAGUUGCCAGCGGAUAAUGCCGGGGACUCUAAUGAAACUGCCAGUGUAAACUGUGAGGAAGGUGGGGAUGACGUCAAAUCAGCACGGCCCUUAUGUCCAGGGCUACACACGUGUUACAAUGGCCGGUACAAAGGGCAGCUACCUGGUGACAGGAUGCUAAUCUCUAAAACCGGUCUCAGUUCGGAUCGAAGU
rnacentral:rRNA from 1 species